CAGUUUAUAGUAUAAAAAGUAUUUUUUUCUUCCAAAAAAAAGGUUUAAACUGA
rnacentral:tRNA from 1 species